GCUAUCUCUUAUGGUGCACAGAGUGUUCUUUUAUGGGUUAUGAACAACUCUGUUGAAACUGAAAUAAUUAAAAACAAUCUUUUCCUCUUUGGUAAAUUCAAUCCUCGAUGUUCUCUCCUUUUUUGCCAGAUAUAUAUAUAUAACUAUCCGCAAGACGAUAUCCUUGAUGAACGUUUUAAGGGCCGUCUGGUUUGGAAUGGAAGCAGGAAUACGGAAGAUAUACAAGAUAUGUCAGUCAUUAUAACCAACGUCUCUUACAGUCAUCACGGGGACUACAUUUGUAAAGUAAACCGAACACUCACAUUCAACAGCCAUGAAUACAAUACCAACGUCACCAAAUUUAUCCACCUGACAGUGGUGGCCAAAG